GGACGAUUUGACAUGCCUAAAAGUCGUUGGAAUUCUUUUAAUAAAUUUCAUAUUUUCUCUCACCAUUUCAAAUUUCCUCACGAAUGACAUAGGGCUGAUAAAGUCACCAGUGACCAGUUUGAAGUUCUUCUGCCCGAGUUAUGUUUUAGGUUAUUAUAUUUUACUUUUCAUGAGUGGCCAAAAUUUUGCAAAUACGCUGCUGUCACCUUCACAAACUAAGGGAAAUUUUAUUCUGAUGUCUUUGCUGAAAUGGUUUAUUGGGGUGCUUACAUUUCAUUGUCUUGCUGUUCUAUAUGGUGCUGCACUCCUAAGUUAUUUAGAGGAAACAUUUAUGUGGUCAGCCAUGAUGUCGACUUUAGUUGUACUUCCUUUCCUCUUGACUGAAGCGGAUAAUAUAUUUAUGGUGCUUCAAGGCAAAGGGAGGGGAAUCAAUUUUCCAUCCUGUAUUUGUGGUACAAUGGUUCUCACUCUGUUAGGAGCCUGGGUUGGAGCCUUCACCCUACCAUUGGACUGGGAUCGUGACUGGCAAGUAAGGGUCAUACUUGAACAUUUCUGUCAAAUUCAGGCAUUUUGUAUGUGAAGACGAUGUUGUGUCAUAAGACAUCAUAGCCACUUUU